rnacentral:lncRNA from 1 species
ACUGAAAAGGUCUUUGUAAAUAAUAUUUCUGCUUUCAUUUUCAAUGAUAUACUCCCAUAAGUCGUGUCGACGUUUCAGUCUUAUUCCAGACUUUUUUCAAGACAAAAGUAACAUUUAAAUAGGGAUAGUGAUUGUAAAUAGAAGUGAUUGUGAUGAAAAACUAAACUGCAUGACAUGCUAAAUGACUUAAAUACAAGUCCAUCCCACAUUCACACAAAAAGCAAACCUAAAUACCUACUUAAUUAUCACUUUUAUUUAUUUUCACUAUCCCUAUUUAAAUUUUACUUUUUCUUUUUAAUUUGAAAGAUCCCAGGCAAAGGGUUUAUUCACCAAGGAACUGAUCUGAUCAGAAGUAUUUCCCAAUAAUAUUUAUUGAAGCUCAUUAUUUAAUGCACUAAAGUUAGUUAUCAAUGAAAAACAUAAGUUGAAGUGUGAAGGAAAGCAUACUGCAAGGCAGUGUUUACAUAUCAUUAUUAUAAGUUAACCUUGUUUUUAGUAGACUGGUACUACUUUUAAUCUUAAUAGUGCAGCAAUACAGUGAAUUCUGAGAGGCCAACUACAACCUCCUCCAGAGAAUGUAGGAAUAGAUCACCUCUACUUUAAACAAUGUUCAGCAAUUUUAUUGUACAAUUUUAGAAGUGGUUAAAAUAAAUUAUUUAUUUCAUACAUUUGUCCAAUAAUUUACAAUUGCUUUUGGUAACCAGUAUUAAUAAUUUCUGGGUGUUUUUCACCCACCCACUAAUAAAUACACAUAUGGACGCUUUGUAUGACUGACCUUAUUACAUUUGUGCAUUUUCUAGUGAUAAAUUAGUAGAAGCUGUUUAUGCAAAUCUGAUUGUACAAGUAUGCCAAAAAGGGGUUUAUUUGUUUAAGUUCUGACUGAUGAGUUACUAGAACGAAAAGAAAACAGGACUUGCGAUCCCUGAUUCAAAACAAAUUCUUAUCUAAUUAGUAAAAUCAAAGAAUGCAUUAACUCUCCUUGCUGAAAGUAAAUGUUAAAAUCUGCUGCCUUAUGGUACCUACAUAUGGAGGAGCUGUACAGCCUCACAUUUCAGGGCGGUAUGAUGCUCUGAAAUGUACUGUUAUGCACCAUCUAUAUAUCCUAAGGUAGAUUAUAAAGAAAUCGUCUCCCAAAGUCACUAUAAAAGAUCAUGUUUUUUUAACUCUCCCAGAAGGCCAAGCUGACUAUUCAAAUGACUCACCCGUUCAAGAUUCCAAUUUACAUUUCUAUGUAAUCCUUUCAACAGGGCACAUAUAUUUAAAACACAGCUUUUUAGAUUACUGUUAUGAUCCUGUAUUCAUGACAUCCUGCCCUCAAAAUAUGGAGAUCAAAAUAGGCAACACAUGUGAUGCUCUUUCACACGAGUCUAGGUAUAGCUAGAACAUGCAUGUUAACCUCUCUCUGUACUACAUUCCUCUUUAAACUCUAAGGUACCAUCACAGACCACAUUUACACAGACAUUAUAUCUGUGCACCUCUCCUCCUUGUAUUUCUUUACCUUCAUUUCUUGUAGAUUCUGAGUUUUUUUGCUAUGAGUAAUCUUCACUUCUUGUAUCGGUCAACAUUUAUUUUGUCUUUCAAUAAUUUGCUUUUAUGGAUCCCAACUGCAUUAUUGUAAAGCACUGCAUAAAUGAUUGGCCAUUGUGUAAAAGGAGCCAGUCGAUACAGGUUUGUUUCCUAAACUAGUAAAUUCAAAUUAGACUAUUUUUGGCCAUUGUUGCUACAUUGCCAUAAUUAUGUUUUCUUGCUUGGGAGAAACAGGUAUACCAAUAAUGGUACAGUUAUACUUAUAAAAGCUAGUGCAUAAAUACAGGAAACAUCAUGACACAAGUCUCUCUCUCUAUCUGCAUCUCCUGCUAUUUAUUCAGUUCCUUCGCUGAUGAUGAUAAACCUGCAGAAGAACAGGGGAUACUUAACUGUGCUGUUUCUGUCCCCUGAACAUUUCUUAUGCCAUGUCAUUAUUGGGAUUAGUUUAAGUUAAAAUGGCAGCAGUGUAACUGUCACCUGUACGUCCUAGUGCUGCUCAGCAUGGUGACAGUAGACCAGAAAAGACAGAGAUUGAGGUACAGACAAUGUCUGUGUGUGUGUGUGUGUGUGUGUGUGUGUGUAUAUAUAUAUAUAUAUAUAUAUAUAUAUAUAUAUAUGUGUGUGUGUAUAUAUAUAUAUAUAUAUAUAUAUAUAUAAUGUAGUAUACACUAAUAAUCAGAUUGUUCUGAUGUCUUAGAUGGUCAUUGAACCUUUAGGUGUUAAAUAUAUUUUCAAGGUUAUUCACCUGUGGGAAUUUCAAUUGAAUUUCAAAUUGUAGGCCAAACUGUGACAACUUCCUAUUCUUCCAAUUUGGCUACUUUGUACUUCAUUCUCACUUCAGUGAAUAAUCCUGCAUGCUUUUCAUGGUUUACUCUAUAAUUUUGUUAUUGAUGAGUUAAGUAUUUAACGUUUUAUUUUGUUGUUGGUUUUCUUUACCAGACACCAUGCACAGACGUAAUGUCCCAGUGCAUGGUUAGACAUUAUACUGUUAGGAAGCUUGCUGUGAGGUCAUAACACCAGAAUUAAGUUUAAUCCAUUUUUUGUUUGGCCAUAUUAUAAAAUUGUUGUAUGCAUGUAAUAGUACAAUUUUAUAUAUAAAAACGUUCAUUAAAAA